GACGUAGGGUGCGAGCGUUGUCCGGAAUUAUUGGGCGUAAAGAGCGUGUAGGCGGCCUGAAAGGUCAGCUGUGAAAACUCGAGGCUCAACCUCGAGACGUCGGUUGAAACCAUCUGGCUAGAGUCCGGAAGAGGAGAGUGGAAUUCCCGGUGUAGCGGUGAAAUGCGCAGAUAUCAGGAGGAACACCAAUAGCGAAGGCAGCGCGCUGGGACGUUACUGACACUGAGGCGCGAAAGCGUGGGGAGCGAACAGG
rnacentral:rRNA from 1 species